CAAGAUUUUGCCACUGCAUUCCAGUCUAGGCAACAGAGUGAGAUUCCGUCUCAAAAGUAAUAAUAAAAUAAAAAUUAAUUAACAAAGUACAGCCCUCCCAAGAUCUCAUUCCCUCUUCCUGCUCUCUCUCCACUGCCCACAGAACCAUUUAACAUGCUGCUUCUCAUUUUCCCACCUCCCUAGAAUGCUGAGUUCCAGGGUGCGGGGAUUUGUGUCAACACGUGCCCCAGCAUGACGACCGUACCGGGCAUGGAAGGGACACAGGACAAGUAUCUGUUGAGUGAAUGCAUCAAAGGACUGGGAUAAAGGCAGACAGGGCACGGGAGUCCAGCCUGUGACAUGAGUACAAGGGCCUCGACCCAUGGUCUUGAAUGAAGGAAUCUGAGCCUGCUGAAUCCACGGGGAACCAAGAGAAGCAGCAAUCAAGGAAAGAGCCAAGAGAAACUGUCCCUGUGACACCCAAGUGCGCCAGAACACAGUGCUGUGGGUUUGCGACAUAUAGACCCUUUUU